AUCUGGCCACAGCAGGAAGAAGAGGCGCCCGGAAAACCUUAGCUCUUGGCUAUCUCUUCCCUGAGCACACCCUGGCCCUGGGGCCUGAGAUCUCUCCAUGCAGGGGCAGCCAUGAGCUCCGGGGGCAGCAGCAAGGCUGGCCACACCACCCAUCAGCCACCUCCAGCCCCGCCGCUCAACCAGCCAUCAGUCCCUUAACUGCCAGUGUUCGUGGACCAUGCAAAACAACCAAGCAAGGGACUCAUUAAGCCCAAAGCAAUUUUAGGGUGCCCAGUGGAGAGACUCACAGAGGCUGCUAGUGCCGAUGCUGCUGGUGCUGCUGCUGAGGAGUGCCCAGGACCAGGUGCCAGGGGAGUUGGAGUCAAUAACCACCACUGUCAGAUCUACUGACCCCCAAGCCAGUUUCUCCAGUCAGUAGAUCCCAGCCAGCCUAGAAGCAGGCUCACAGUUUUCCAUGGAGGGCUUGGAUAAUAAACUGAUCCUGGAUGUUGGUGGCAUACGCCACCUGAUCUACAUCAGCACCAUGAGGGCCUUUCCAGCAUUUAGAACUAUAAAUUUCCAGUCCCAGCUACUCAGGAGACUGAGGCACAAGAAUUGCUUGAACCUGAGAGGUAGAGGUUGCAGUGAGCCAAGAUCGCACCACUGCACUCCAGCCUGGGCGACAGAGGGAGACUCUGUCAAAAAAAAAAAGAAAGAAGAAAGAAAGAAAAGAAAAGAAAGAAGAAAAAAGAAAGAAAGAAAAAGAGAAAGAAAAAAAGAAGGAAGGAAGAAAGGAAGGAAGGAAGGAAGAAAGGAAGGAAGGAAGGAAGCAAGGGACGAACUACAAAUUUCCCUCUAAUCAGUGUCUUCACUUUAUUCCCAAAUUUUUGGUAUGCUGUGUUUUCAUCUUCAUUCAUCUCUAAGUAUACUCUAACCUCCUUUUUAAUUUCUUCUUUGACUCAUUGGUUGCUUAUGUCAUUUAACUUCCACAUAUUUGCAAAAUUUCCAGUUUUCCUUUAGUUAUUGACUUCACUGCAUGUGGUCGAGGAAGAUACUUUGUAUGGUUUCAAUGUUUAAAAAAUUUAUUGGGACUUGUUUUAUGACCUAACAUAUGGUCUAUUCUGGAGAAUGUUUCAUUUGCACUUCAGAAGAAUGUGUGUUUUGAGAAGAAUAUGUAUUCUGCUGUUGUUGAAUGGAGUGUUCUAUAUUUGUUGGUCUAGCUGGUUUAUGGUGCUGUUCAAAUCCUCUACUUUCUUAUUCAUCUUCUGUCUAUCCAUUGUUUAGAAUAGGGUAUUGUGUCUUCCACUGUUAUUUUAGAACAGUGUAUUUCUUCCUUCAUUUCUGUCAGCUUAUUUCAUAUUUUGAGGUUUUAACUGUUUGUUGCACAUAUGUUUAUAAUAAUUAUACAUUAUUAAUGAAUUGACCCUUUUAUCAAUAUAUAAUUUCAUUCUUUGUUUCUUGUAACAGUUUGUUUUGUUUGAUACAUAUAUUGCCACCCAGCUAUCUUUUGGUUACUAUUUGCAUGGAAUGCUUUUUCUCCAUCCUUUUAUGUUCAACCUAUUUGUGUCUUUGAAUAUAAAGUGAGACUGUUGUAGACAGACAACAUAUAGUUGGAUCAUGUUUUCUAACUAUCCUGCCAAUUUCUGCCUUUUGAUUGGAUGAUUUAAUCAAUUUACAUUUAAAGUGAUUACUGAUAUGGAAGAACUUACUUCUACCUUUUUGCUAUUUGAUUUUUGUAUUUCUUUUUCCCUUUUAAAUAAUUUUUAUCUCUUUAUUGAUAUUAAAAAUUUCAAAU
rnacentral:lncRNA from 1 species